CAAUAGCGUAUAUUUAAGUUGUUGCAGUUAAAAAGCUCGUAGUUGGAUUUCGGAUGGGACUUGCCGGUCCGUCGUUUCGAUGUGCACUGGCCAGUCCUAUCUUGUUGUCGGGGACUAGCUCCUGGGCUUCACUGUCCGGGACUAGGAGCUGACGAGGUUACUUUGAGUAAAUUAGAGUGUUCAAAGCAAGCCUACGCUCUGAAUACAUUAGCAUGGAAUAACACGAUAGGACUCUGGCUUAUCUUGUUGGUCUGUGAGACCAGAGUAAUGAUUAAGAGGGACAGUCGGGGCAUUCGUAUUUCAUUGUCAGAGGUGAAAUUCUUGGAUUUAUGAAAGACGAACUUCUGCGAAAGCAUUUGUCAAGGAUGUUUUCAUUAA
rnacentral:rRNA from 1 species